UCCGUAGGUGAACCUGCGGAAGGAUCAUUACUGAGUGAGGGCCCUCUGGGUCCAACCUCCCACCCAUGUUUACCGUACCUCGUUGCUUCGGCGGGCCCGCCUCACGGCCGCCGGGGGGCUUCGUCCCCUGGUCCGCGCCCGCCGAAGACACCUUUGAACGCUGUAUAAUUGUGCAGUCUGAGCGAUAAGCAAAAUUAAUUAAAACUUUCAACAACGGAUCUCUUGGUUCCGGCAUCGAUGAAGAACGCAGCGAAAUGCGAUAAGUAAUGUGAAUUGCAGAAUUCAGUGAAUCAUCGAGUCUUUGAACGCACAUUGCGCCCCCUGGUAUUCCGGGGGGCAUGCCUGUCCGAGCGUCAUUGCUGCCCUCAAGCACGGCUUGUUCUUGGGCUUCGUCCCCCUCGGGGGACGGGCCUGAAAGGCAGCGGCGGCACCGCGUCCGGUCCUCGAGCGUAUGGGGCUUUGUCACCCGCUCUGUAGGCCCGGCCGGCGCCAGCCGAACCCCCAAUCUAUUCAGGUUGACCUCGGAUCAGGUAGGGAUACCCGCUGAACUUAAGCAUAUCAAUAAGCGGAGGA
rnacentral:rRNA from 1 species